rnacentral:rRNA from 1 species
UACGAAGGGCGCAAGCGUUAAUCGGAAUUACUGGGCGUAAAGGGCGCGUAGGCGGUUAGUUAAGUCUGUUGUGAAAUCCCCGGGCUCAACCUGGGAAUGGCAAUGGAUACUGGCUGGCUAGAGUGUGUCAGAGGAUGGUGGAAUUCCCGGUGUGGCGGUGAAAUGCGUAGAGAUCGGGAGGAACAUCAGUGGCGAAGGCGGCCAUCUGGGACAACACUGACGCUGAAGCACGAAGGCGUGGGGAGCAAACAGA